AAGAAAGUGAUAGAUUGGUCAUAUGAUUAACUUGAAAUUAAUUUAAGGAGGUUCGAUUCCUUCCUUUCUUG
rnacentral:tRNA from 1 species